rnacentral:rRNA from 1 species
GACGAACGCUGGCGGCGUGCCUAAUACAUGCAAGUUGAGCGCUGAAGGUUGGUACUUGUACCAACUGGAUGAGCAGCGAACGGGUGAGUAACGCGUGGGGAAUCUGCCUUUGAGCGGGGGACAACAUUUGGAAACGAAUGCUAAUACCGCAUAAAAACUUUAAACACAAGUUUUAAGUUUGAAAGAUGCAAUUGCAUCACUCAAAGAUGAUCCCGCGUUGUAUUAGCUAGUUGGUGAGGUAAAGGCUCACCAAGGCGAUGAUACAUAGCCGACCUGAGAGGGCGAUCGGCCACAUUGGGACUGAGACACGGCCCAAACUCCUACGGGAGGCAGCAGUAGGGAAUCUUCGGCAAUGGACGAAAGUCUGACCGAGCAACGCCGCGUGAGUGAAGAAGGUUUUCGGAUCGUAAAACUCUGUUGGUAGGGAAGAACGUUGGUGAGAGUGGAAAGCUCAUCAAGUGACGGUAACUACCCAGAAAGGGACGGCUAACUACGUG